UACGAAGGGAGCUAGCGUUGUUCGGAAUCAUUGGGCGUAAAGCGCACGUAGGCGGAUUUGCCAGUCAGGGGUGAAAUCCCGGGGCUCAACCUCGGAACUGCCUUUGAUACAGCAAGUCUUGAGUUCGAGAGAGGUGAGUGGAAUUCCUAGUGUAGAGGUGAAAUUCGUAGAUAUUAGGAAGAACACCGGUGGCGAAGGCGGCCCACUGGCUCGACACUGACGCUGAGGUGCGAAAGCGUGGGGAGCAAACAGG
rnacentral:rRNA from 1 species